rnacentral:rRNA from 1 species
UAGGGAAUCUUCGGCAAUGGACGAAAGUCUGACCGAGCAACGCCGCGUGAGUGAAGAAGGUUUUCGGAUCGUAAAACUCUGUUGUUAGAGAAGAACAAGGACGUUAGUAACUGAACGUCCCCUGACGGUAUCUAACCAGAAAGCCACGGCUAACUACGUGCCAGCAGCCGCGGUAAUACGUAGGUGGCAAGCGUUGUCCGGUUUUAUUGGGCGUAAAGCGAGCGCAGGCGGUUUCUUAAGUCUGAUGUGAAAGCCCCCGGCUCAACCGGGGAGGGUUAUUGGAAAUUGGGAGACUUGAGUGCAGAAGAGGAGAGUGGAAUUCCAUGUGUAGCGGGGAAAUGCGUAGAUAUAUGGAGGAACACCAGUGGCGAAGGCGGCUCUCUGGUCUGUAACUGACGCUGAGGCUCGAAAGCGUGGGGAGCAAACAGG